rnacentral:rRNA from 1 species
AAAACUUUCAACAACGGAUCUCUUGGCUCUGGCAUCGAUGAAGAGCGCAGCGAAACGCGAUAAGUAAUGUGAAUUGCAGAAUCCAGUGAAUCAUCGAAUCUUUGAGCGCACAUUGCGCCCGCCAGCAUUCUGGCGGGCAUGCCUGUUCGAGCGUC